GCUCCCCUAGCUCAAUUGGCAGAGCAACUGACUCUUAAUCAGUAGGUUGUUGGUUCGAUUCCAACGGGGAGCAC
rnacentral:tRNA from 2 species